UGCCCAUCAACUCCUAUCCCUACCUCCUCGCGGUACUGGCCGGGGUACGAGUAACCUUAGGGAAGAUCGGGUAACCAACCCCAGGUGGGAACUUUGGUCGUAUACUGUCAGGGAAGG
rnacentral:ribozyme from 1 species